rfam:Arabis alpina cultivar Pajares Aa.chr2_contig_4241, whole genome shotgun sequence.
UUUGAUAACCGGAGUUAGAUGCGCCAUAUAUGACAGAUUUUUGUGAUUACUGAGGGCUCUUUGUAUUC